AGGCCCUAUUCUUAGGGAACUUCCCUACAAAUACACACACACAUACAUAGGCACACAUGCAUGCACGCAAAGGCUGGGUCCCAGGACACAGGACAGUGCAGGUCCAGAGAGAGAUCUUUUACACAGGCGCGCACGCGUAAUACACACACACACACACACACACACACACACACUCCCAGCCUGCACACACUCCUCGCUCCUUCGGGAUUGCGGCAAGCCCGGAGAGGGGAGUUGCGGGUCGUGACCUCUGCCUCCGCCCCAGAGCGCCCUUCGACCCCUGCAAUUAGCGCCCGGAGGUCGCCCCCUGACGCUGGGCUCCACAGAUUUCUACAGGGACUGGCCAAGUGUUUGGAGAGAGAAUUACCAGCGAUGGUCCCCACGCUGAAUUUCCGAACAUUCUUUGCAAACCCGAAGGAGAGGGGAGGACUUUUUCUCCUCUGGGGCCCAAAUGGAAAUUAAAGCAAUGUCCAGGAAAGAAACAGUGGCCGCUUCGUCCGAGGCUGGGGCUGGGGGGUGGGCGUGUGGGGUGUGGGCUGUGGGCUGGGGUGGUGG
rnacentral:lncRNA from 1 species